rnacentral:rRNA from 1 species
GNNCAUUUAGAGGAAGUAAAAGUCGUAACAAGGUCUCCGUAGGUGAACCUGCGGAGGGAUCAUUACAAGUGACCCCGGUCUAACCACCGGGAUGUUCAUAACCCUUUGUUGUCCGACUCUGUUGCCUCCGGGGCGACCCUGCCUUCGGGCGGGGGCUCCGGGUGGACACUUCAAACUCUUGCGUAACUUUGCAGUCUGAGUAAACUUAAUUAAUAAAUUAAAACUUUUAACAACGGAUCUCUUGGUUCUGGCAUCGAUGAAGAACGCAGCGAAAUGCGAUAAGUAGUGUGAAUUGCAGAAUUCAGUGAAUCAUCGAAUCUUUGAACGCACCUUGCGCUCCUUGGUAUUCCGAGGAGCAUGCCUGUUUGAGUGUCAUGAAACUCUCAACCUUCAACUUUUUUAUUAAGGCUGAAGGCUUGGACUUGAGCGCUGCUGGUUUUUACUAACCGGCUCGCUUGAAAUGAAUUAGCAGAUCCUUUUUGUAAUCGGUUCCACUCGACGUGAUAAGUAUUUCGCCGAGGACAUACGAAAGUAUGGCCGAGAUAAAGAAAGUCUAUAGAUCCGCUUCUAAUUCUUAGAUAGAGCUUGCUCUACUAAACCCCAUUUUUAUGAUCUGGCCUCCAAAUCAGGUAGGACUACCCGCUGAACUUAAGCAUAUCAAUAAGCGGAGGA